UACGUAGGGGGCAAGCGUUGUUCGGAUUUAUUGGGCGUAAAGCGCGUGUAGGCGGUUUGGUAGGUCCGUUGUGAAAACUCGAGGCUCAACCUCUAGACGCCGGUGGAAACCAUCAGACUAGAGUCCGGAAGAGGAGAGUGGAAUUCCUGGUGUAGCGGUGAAAUGCGCAGAUAUCAGGAAGAACACCCGUGGCUAAGGCGGCUCUCUAGUACGGUACUGACGCUGAGACGCGAAAGCGUGGGGAGCAAACAGG
rnacentral:rRNA from 1 species